rnacentral:tRNA from 1 species
AGGGCUGUAGUUAAUCAUAACAUUUGGUUUGCACUCAAAAAGUACUGGAAAGUCUGCCUUA